rnacentral:rRNA from 1 species
GCUUGUCUCAAAGAUUAAGCCAUGCAUGUCUCAGCAUAAGCCUUUUCACGGUGAAACUGCAAAUGGCUCAUUAAAGCAGUUACAAUUUAUUUGAUGGUGACUGUUACAUGGAUAACUGUGGUAAUUCUAGAGCUAAUACAUGCGUCAAGUCCCAACUUGAUGGAAGGGCUGUGCUUAUUAGAUACAAAACCAAUUCAGGCUUGCCUGAUUGAUUGGUGAUUCAUGAUAACUGUAUGAAUUGAAUGGCUUUGGCUGUCAAUGCAUCAUUCAAGUUUCUGACCUAUCAGCUUUGGAUGGUAGGGUAUUGGCCUACCAUGGCUUUAACGGGUAACGGAGAAUUAGGGUUCGAUUCCGGAGAGGGAGCCUGAGAAAUGGCUACCACAUCCAAGGAAGGCAGCAGG